rnacentral:rRNA from 1 species
CGCGACCCCAGGUCAGGCGGGAUAACCCGCUGAGUUUAAGCAUAUCAAUAAGCGGAGGAAAAGAAACUUACGAGGAUUCCCCUAGUAACGCCGAGCGAACCGGGAAU